UACGUAGGGGGCAAGCGUUGUCCGGAAUCAUUGGGCGUAAAGCGCGUGUAGGCGGUUUGUUAAGUCUGCUGUGAAAGUCCAGGGCUCAACCCUGGGACGCCGGUGGAUACUGUCGGGCUAGAGUGCGGAAGAGGCGAGUGGAAUUCCCGGUGUAGCGGUGAAAUGCGCAGAUAUCGGGAGGAACACCAAUUGCGAAGGCAGCUCGCUGGGACGUUACUGACGCUGAGACGCGAAAGCGUGGGGAGCAAACAGG
rnacentral:rRNA from 1 species